rnacentral:rRNA from 1 species
CUGGCUCAGGAUGAACGCUAGCUACAGGCUUAACACAUGCAAGUCGAGGGGCAGCAUUGGGGUAGCAAUACUUCAGAUGGCGACCGGCGCACGGGUGAGUAACACGUAUCCAACCUGCCGCUUACUCGGGGAUAGCCUUUCGAAAGAAAGAUUAAUACCCGAUGGUAUAAAGAGUUCGCAUGUUCUCUUUAUUAAAGAAUUUCGGUAAGCGAUGGGGAUGCGUUCCAUUAGAUAGUUGGCGGGGUAACGGCCCACCAAGUCUACGAUGGAUAGGGGUUCUGAGAGGAAGGUCCCCCACAUUGGAACUGAGACACGGUCCAAACUCCUACGGGAGGCAGCAGUGAGGAAUAUUGGUCAAUGGACGAGAGUCUGAACCAGCCCAAGUAGCGUGAAGGGUGACUGCCCUAUGGGUUGUAAACUUCUUUUAUAAGGGAAUAAAGUGAGGGACGUGUCCCUUUUUGUAUGUACCUUAUGAAUAAGGAUCGGCUAACUCCGUGCCAGCCGCGGC